GCUGGNGUAGCUCAGGGGUAGAGCAGCUGAUUUGUAAUCAGCCGGUCGGGGGUUCAANUCCCUUCNCCAGCU
rnacentral:tRNA from 1 species